rnacentral:lncRNA from 10 species
UGUGGGUGCCACAGAUCGGCACAUCAAACAAAGGCAUAUGCUAAAGCACAGAACGGAUCACAUAAAUACAGGGCUAGAAGUAUGAGUACUAUAUUGAAUAAAUGGCGACAGCAGAAAUCAUUGUCUUCUUCCUACUCUUGAGUGAAAACAGCCAGUCUGUCACUACUAAAUAUGAUGCUAGCUGAAGGGAUUUUAUAGAUGCCCUCUAUCAAGUUAAGUGGCGGGCUCUGUGGAUGAAUGUUUGUAAUGGUCUUCAUCAAUAUGUAACCAUUGGAGGGGCUCUUCCCGCUGGCUGCAUGAAGAAAGACCACAGCACUGUAGCAGACAAAGUGUUUAACAGACACAAGGCCGAUCAGCCUACAUGGAAGACAGAAUUAGCCCUCACAUCAUCUCCUCCAAACCUCCCAGGGAAUGUCUCGUGCAUGGGCGUGGAUGAUCAAAGGUCAGCUCUUGGUCAAUGUAAGUAAACAAACCUGUUUAAGAUAAAUUUCCCUAUACUCCCUUGUACCUACUCCUUGCCCUCUGCCUCAGGGUUAUAGAACAGUUGCCUUCAGCUAUUCUCCCCCAGGGCUCUGCAAAACUUUCUGACCUUUCCGAAGGUUUGCAUCCUUUCCCUGUAGUUUUUCCCACCACUCUGACUGAUCCCCCACAUCACAAGAAAUAUUAUUUCAUGGGAAAGUGAAA